rnacentral:rRNA from 1 species
AGAGCGCAGGGUGAAUGCCUUGGCACCAAUCGCCGAAGAAAGACGUGACAAGCUGCGAUAAGCCGUGGGGAGCAGCAAAUAUGCAUUGAUCCACGGAUUUCUGAAUGGGGAAACCCGCAUGAGUUAAAUUCUCAUGCGACACUACGUAAAUCCAUAGCGUAGUGCCGGAAGACGGAGUGAACUGAAACAUCUAAGUAGCUCCAGGAAGAGAAAUCAAACGAGAUUCCGUAAGUAGUGGCGAGCGAAAGCGGAACAGGCCAAACCGGAAGACUUCGGUCGUCCGGGGUUGUGGACUACAAUAUGUGAGCCGUACUUGAGCAGAAGAGGAACUGGAAAGUUUCCGCCAUAGCGAGUAAUAGCCUCGUAUGCGAAGAGGAAGGCAGCUAGUAGAUUCCAGAGUACCACGAGACACGAGGAACCUUGUGGGAAGCAGGGGGGACCACCCUCCAAGCCUAAAUACGAAUUGGUGACCGAUAGCGAAGAAGUACUGUGAAGGAAAGGUGAAAAGAACCCCUGGCGGGGAGUGAAAGAGAACCUGAAACCCUGUGUUUACAAGCAGUCGGAGAGCGUUAAGGCUCGACGGCGUACUUUUUGUAGAACGGUCCGACGAGUUAUGGCAGUAAGCGAGGUUAAGGACUUAUGGUCCGGAGCCGAAGGGAAACCGAGUCUGAAUAGGGCGUUAAGUUUGCUGUUAUAGACCCGAAACCGGGUGACCUAUCCAUGAGCAGGUUGAAGGUAAGGUAAAGCUUACUGGAGGACCGAACCGGUGUAAGUUGAAAAUUGCUCGGAUGACUUGUGGAUAGCGGAGAAAUUCCAAUCGAACUCGGAGAUAGCUGGUUCUCCUCGAAAUAGCUUUAGGGCUAGCCUCGUAUAUGUCUGCCGGAGGUAGAGCACUGAAUUGGCUAGGGGCCUACACAGGUUACCGAACCUUAUCAAACUACGAAUGCCGGACAGAAUUAGUACGGGAGUCAGACAGCGACAGAUAAGUGCCGUUGUCAAAAGGGAAACAGCCCAGAUCGCCAGCUAAGGUCCCAAAAUUACGGUUAAGUGGUAAAGGAUGUGGAUUUGCUAAGACAGCUAGGAUGUUGGCUCAGAAGCAGCCAUUCAUUCAAAGAGUGCGUAAUAGCUCACUAGUCGAGUGAGUCUGCGCCGAAAAUCACCGGGGCUCAAACCGUAUACCGAAGCUGCGGGCGCAACCAGUUUGCGCGGUAGAGGAGCUUACUGUAAGCAGUAGAAGCACGAUCGAUAAGGACGUGUGGAUGUAUCAGUAGUGAGAAUGUCGGAAUAAGUAACGAGAGACAAGUGAGAAUCUUGUCCGUCGAAAAUCCAAGGUUUCCUGGGGAAGGGUCGUCCUCCCAGGGUUAGUCGGGACCUAAGACGAGGCUGACAAGCGUAGCCGAUGGACAACAGGUUGAUAUUCCUGUACUGCCUAUGUUCGUUAUCAGAGAGGCAGGGACGCAGAAGGAUAUCCGGAGCAUGCUGCAGGAAAUGCAUGUUCAAGCACUGAGGAUAGGGAAAACGUAAAGUACGUUUCCUGUUUCCGGGGUGUGAUGAGGAGGGAAAUAAAGUACCGAAGCCGGAGAUUUCACACUGACGAGAAAAGCUGCUAUCGAGAACAGAGGUACCCGUACCGUAAACCGACACAGGUGGAUGAGGAGAGAAUCCUAAGACGAGCGGGAGAAGCGUUGUUAAGGAACUCGGCAAAUUGACCCCGUAAGUUCGCAAUAAGGGGAGCCUCGGUAGCGAUACCAGGCCGCAGAGAAUUGGCCCAAGCAACUGUUUACCAAAAACACAGGUCUCCGCUAAAUCGUAAGAUGAAGUAUGGGGGCUGACGCCUGCCCGGUGCUGGAAGGUCACGGGAAUCUGUUAGCGCAAGAGAAGCAGUGGUACGGAAUUCGGCAAACUGACCCCGUAACUUCGGGAGAAGGGGUGCCUGAGCAAUCAGGGCGCAUAGAAUAGGCUCAAGCAACUGUUUAGCAAAAACACAGGUCUAUGCAAAACCGAAAGGUGAAGUAUAGGGGCUGACGCGUGCCGGGUGCCGGAAGGUUAAGAGGAGAUGUCAGGAAACGAAGCAUUGAAUUUAAGCCCCGGUAAACGGCGGCCGUAACUAUAACGGUCCUAAGGUAGCGAAAUUCCUUGUCGGGUAAGUUCCGACCCGCACGAAAGGCGUAAUGAUUUGAGCACUGUCUCGACAAUACAUCCGGUGAAAUUGAAGUACCAGUGAAGAUGCUGGUUACCCGCGCCAGGACGGAAAGACCCCAUGGAGCUUUACUCUAGCUUGAUACUGGGAUUCGAUGCUGAAUGUACAGGAUAGGUGGGAGACUAUGAAGCAAGGACGCCAGUCUUUGUGGAGUCACUGUUGGGAUACCACUCUUUCAGUAUUGGGUUUCUAACCAUAACCCGUGACCCGGGUUUGGGACAAUGUCUGGUGGGGAGUUUGACUGGGGCGGUCGCCUCCGAAAGGGUAUCGGAGGCGCUCAAAGGUUCCCUCAGAAUGGUUGGAAACCAUUCGAAGAGUACUACAGCCCCAGGAUGCGAUGAGCCGACAUCGAGGUGCCAAACCACUCCGUCGAUGUGAACUCUUGGGAGUGAUCAGCCUGUUAUCCCCAGGGUAGCUUUUAUCCGUUGAGCGAUGGCAA